CGGGGUGUAGCGCAGUUGGAAGCGCGCAUGGCUUGGGACCAUGAGGUCGGGGGUUCGAGACCCUCCACCCCGACCA
rnacentral:tRNA from 1 species